GAGUGUUUGGAAUAUGCAAGUUUUAGGUCUGUUUAGUAGUGACAGACAUUGAAAAUAUCAUACUCCAAACAGGUCAUUUUGCUCAACGUCAAUGAUCUUCGUCAUGUGUAUUUCUAUUUGUGUGUACGCAUUUGUGAUUAUGUGUAAAUAAACACCCGAUUUAGAAAUAGGCGUUCCGUUUUACUGUUCCAUUUGUUUAUUUUUCCAUUUGUUCCAGGCUGCUUUGCAUUCAUGAUCCAUUUCUCUUCAAAAUUCGGGAUGUGGAAAAAGGACCCCAAAGAGAAGAAUGGGAUAAGAUGGGCUGAUCAUUCACAGAUCUGAAGAUCAUCAAGAAGAACUCAUGUACUGUUCAUAAAAAGUUUAUCUUUGGCAUGCUCACAUACAACUGGACACAUGCAAACAUACCUUGCUCAAGGUCAACAGCCCUGAGUCAGCAAAAUUAGUCAGACAUUAAAAGAUGAGUAAAACUCAUUUAAAUAAUCCGCACUUCAUCUGGAUUAAUCCAACAUAGCCAUAUACCCUUGCCAGCACUCUCAUUAUAACACUGCUGGGAGCCAGAGAAUUUGCACAUUUGUGUAUAUGUAUAUGUGUG
ensembl:lncRNA